UUCAGUGUCGAUAUCUACGGGGCUCCACCUGUUCCCAUACCGAACACAGUAGUUAAGCCCGUAUACGCCGAAAGUACUUGGUUGGAAACGGCCUGGGAGGAUAGGUAGGCGCUGAUU
rnacentral:rRNA from 1 species